GUUAUGUCGUUUUCAUCUUCUCCUUUCGCACAUGUGCUCUCUGAAUUCAUCUUCUCCUUUCGGCUAUGAACUUUGAAACAAUUUUCAAAUCAAAAGUCUUCAAUCCCUUAUCCAUGCAACAUCUACUUCUCACACUGUCAAAGCUUAAGAAAUUCCAUUUUAAUCCCUUAUCUCUCUUCAAAUACUCCUCUAAUUUGGGAAUUUUUUCUCAUGUCUUUACAAGAUGAAAAACCCAAUGUUGAAUAAUACCCAUUUUAUUGAUUCAUUCUCUGUUGAUUUUGCAGGUUUGGUCAAGGCGCAUGCAGUUUAAAUUUCCCUCCAAAGGGAUAAGAUCAGAUGAAUAGGUAAAAGGUAACUUUGAAUUUCAAUUUCAGAUUCUCCCACCUUAGGGUUUAAUCGAUUUAUUCAUUUUAUAAUUGAAAUAGGGUUAGAGGUUUUGUCUAUUUAAGCAGGUAUGUAGUUUAUUGUCUCCACUGCACCAAACAAACUAUAUUAAGCAGGUAUGUAGACUUGAACUGUAUUGGAGUUUUUCGUUAAUUAUUUCUUCCAAACCCUAAUUUAAAUUUUUCUUUACCCAUCCCUUUUCAUGUCUCUCCCUCUCACUAUUUCAAAUUUCAAAUUUCCAACCAUAUUUGAUAUUUUAAUCAAUGGUUAUGGCAUGAAUAGGAAUUUUCGACACCUGCUGCAUUUUGGCAUGUUGGUUUUUGUUUUUUUCAUUUAGAUUUACACAAAUAGAUCUUUUGUUUCUUUUUUAGGAGAUUUAGAAGAAAGGAACAUGAGUGGCGGCCAUGGAGUUGUUCUUAAGAAAGGAAUAUAUUUUAUUUUUAUUUUUCAUUUUCGAUUUCUAUUUUAUAUUUUUGCCUAAUUUGUUUUUGAAUUGCAAUUUUUAUUUCUGAUUUUUGCAUUUUCCUCUCAUUUUUUCCUUUCUUCUUUCCAGGUAACUCUAGAGGUUUUUGGUUGAUGCUGUGAAGAGAAAUGGUUUAAAGGAGCUUUUGACAUCAACAAAUUGAUAAUUUCACCGCUAAAUCCGAUUCAGAUGAAGCUAAACAAAAUUUUAUUUUAUGACUUUUAUCUUCCACAAAAAGAGACACUACAAUGGAUACAUUAAGAAGGAAAAGCAAGUACAACAGUGGAAAUAGGAUCAGCAUUGUCACUGCUAGGCUCUAUACCUAUUGAAGGGUAUCCUUCGCCACAAAUGUAGAGGCCAAUAUCUCGAGUCAAAUAGGACCACAAUGAACGACAAAGAUCUUCCCCAAGAGGAUUUGAAGUCGUUGGAUUCAAGCUAAGGAUCUCCAAUCAAGCGGUGUUUAAAUAUGAGACGCAUCAUUUCUAUAUAUCUCUAGAAUACAUAGGUUAUUAUUUGUAUCAGCAUAAGUUUGUUUGGUUGGUGAGAGUUAUAUACAUCUUGAUUAAUAUUGUUUCAUCCCAAUACAUAUUGUAUGUAGUAUAAAUAUCUUUAAUAAAAAAUAUGAAAGCUUUAAUUUGUUU